CCUGAGACCAGUCACCCAUUGCAGGCCCCUCUGAGCCUGGCUCUAUAGGACCUGCCUGCUGCUGUGGGGCCUCUCCCGGCCUCCCCCGACUGCUCCCCACGUGGGAGUCAGCGCAAACCACACACAGCCACCCUAUGCAACUGAGGGAGGAUAGGGUGGCAGCAGCCGGUGACUUUGGCCUGCCCUGUGCACUCUACCUUGGCAGGUGGAGCAUCGCCUCGGCAGGGCUCCCGUGUCCAGGACACUUCUGACAGAGGUGUGUGACAUUCCUCUGCAUGACAUUUGUGACUACAACGUCUCCAGGGACCGAUGCAAGGAGCUCGGGUGCUGCUUCUACAAAGGCGUCUGCUAUGAGAAAGCAGUUCCCAUUUACGUCCAUGUGUUCUCCGCCUUGAUUGUGAUCAUCGCUGGGGCCUUCGUCAUCACCAUCAUCUACAGAGUCGUUCAGGAGAGCAGGAGACAAAGGGCCAUUCCGACGGAUGUCGUGCUGCCACAGAAGUCCAGCGAAAAGGCGGAGGUGGCCUCAUCCAGCAGCAAGUUAGGGCUGAAGCCUCCGAGUCCUGGGCCUCCGAGUGCUGGGCCCUCAAUGAAGAGUGACGCGGACAAGGAUGAUGUAACAGUGACAAUAGCAGAAGCCGAAGAAACUGAGGACUGACUGAAAUGCAUGAAGAAGUGGAGAUUGGCAGAAUUAUCCAAAUGAAAUGAUACAGCAGGUGCACUGUUAACAGUGUGAUGGAAUGACCUCCCAAUGAGAAAAAAAUAAAGGUAUUUUGAAAAUU